UUUAAAAUACCACUCUUGGAUAAUUUGGGUUUACCAGCGCUGUUUUCUGGAUUACCUUCAAAGAUAGAGUGUGUGUUGUGGAAAGGUCUCCUCGACAACCUAUGAAAAGGGUUUUGAAGCUGCUGUUAUAUUUAUUUGGUGGAAUUAGAGUACACAAGUCAGAAAGAUUUAGUGUCGAAGGCCCAUAUUCCAACAUCCGACUGUCCUUUUCAAAUUGGUUGCUUUUGCAUGCAUAGAUGAUACGCUCAUAUGGAGCAUAGGGACCAUGUUCAUUAGUGUCAUAGAUUGCAUAAAGUGAUUACCUAGAAAUUACAGUUAUCUAAAUUUGGGAUUGCUCAUUGAUAAUCAACAAAUGCUGUCAAUUAUUCAGUACUUACUUGUCUGUCUUUGAUGUGUUCAGUUCUGAAUUAUUAUCAGAACAAUCAUUAUCAUCAAGCACAUCCACAGGCUUCCCCGCAAAAGAAGACCCUUCUCUUUUGGAGAUGCGCUCUGAAGUUUUACUCGAAGAUCGUCGACGAUGGCAAUUGCAUUUUCCAAUAGGUUCAGGUUCUCAUUAUCGAACAUUUGACUGACGAAACUGAGACAAUGCCUCUUCGUAUUCACUUUGCGUUGGCGCGCAACCAAUUCUUGUCAUGGCGUUUUGAAGAAACUCCUGUUCGUUUUCAUCAAGGCCAUUUCGUCCCGUCCUGGUCCAACGUCGUAUUGCCUGUUGACGAUGAAAAUCGCAGAUGUAUGCAAUCACUCCUGGAAAUUGCGCUUCUAUUGCUCCAAUCUCAGCCGUCGAGAAAUCCACCAUGAAGUACUUUGGAUUCCACUGUGGGUUCCAUUGCUGCAAAACCCCCAAGGCUUCUGAUAUCGAAACUUCAUCUUCGUGCUGACAC